rnacentral:rRNA from 1 species
CACGUAGGGUGCGAGCGUUGUCCGGAAUUAUUGGGCGUAAAGAGCUCGUAGGCGGUGUGUCGCGUCGGCCGUGAAAACCUGCAGCUUAACUGUGGGCUUGCGGUCGAUACGGGGCAGACUAGAGUGCGGUAGGGGAGACUGGAAUUCCUGGUGUAGCGGUGGAAUGCGCAGAUAUCAGGAGGAACACCGAUGGCGAAGGCAGGUCUCUGGGGCCGCAACUGGAC